UACGUAGGGUGCGAGCGUUGUCCGGAAUUAUUGGGCGUAAAGAGCUCGUAGGCGGUGUGUCGCGUCGGUCGUGAAAACUUGGGGCUUAACCCUGAGCUUGCGGUCGAUACGGGCAUCACUGGAGUUCGGCAGGGGAGACUGGAAUUCCUGGUGUAGCGGUGAAAUGCGCAGAUAUCAGGAGGAACACCGGUGGCGAAGGCGGGUCUCUGGGCCGAUACUGACGCUGAGGAGCGAAAGCGUGGGGAGUGAACAGGAUUAGAA
rnacentral:rRNA from 1 species